ensembl:snRNA U4 U4 spliceosomal RNA
AGCUUUGCGCAGUGGCAGUAUUGUAGCCAGUGAAGUUUAUCCAAGGUGCGAUUAUUGCUAACUGAAAACUUUUCCCAAUACCCCGCCAUGACAACUUGAAAUAUAGUCGGCAUUGGCAAUUUUUGACAGUGUCUAUGGAGA